CUUGGUCAUUUAGAGGAAGUAAAAGUCGUAACAAGGUCUCCGUUGGUGAACCAGCGGAGGGAUCAUUACCGAGUUUACAACUCCCAAACCCCUGUGAACAUACCUUAUGUUGCCUCGGCGGAUCAGCCCGCGCCCCGUAAAAAGGGACGGCCCGCCGCAGGAACCCUAAACUCUGUUUUUAGUGGAACUUCUGAGUAUAAAAAACAAAUAAAUCAAAACUUUCAACAACGGAUCUCUUGGUUCUGGCAUCGAUGAAGAACGCAGCAAAAUGCGAUAAGUAAUGUGAAUUGCAGAAUUCAGUGGAUCAUCGAAUCUUUGAACGCACAUUGCGCCCGCCAGUAUUCUGGCGGGCAUGCCUGUUCGAGCGUCAUUUCAACCCUCAAGCCCAGCUUGGUGUUGGGAGCUGCAGUCCUGCUGCACUCCCCAAAUACAUUGGCGGUCACGUCGAGCUUCCAUAGCGUAGUAAUUUACAUAUCGUUACUGGUAAUCGUCGCGGCCACGCCGUUAAACCCCAACUUCUGAAUGUUGACCUCGGAUCAGGUAGGAAUACCCGCUGAACUUAAGCAUAUCAAUAAGCGGAGGAAAAGAAACCAACAGGGAUUGCCCUAGUAACGGCGAGUGAAGCGGCAACAGCUCAAAUUUGAAAUCUGGCUUUCGGGCCCGAGUUGUAAUUUGUAGAGGAUGAUUUUGAUGCGGUGCCUUCCGAGUUCCCUGGAACGGGACGCCAUAGAGGGUGAGAGCCCCGUCUGGUUGGAUGCCAAAUCUCUGUAAAUCUCCUUCGACGAGUCGAGUUGUUUGGGAAU
rnacentral:sRNA from 1 species